UACGGGGGGAGCAAGCGUUGUUCGGAUUUACUGGGCGUAAAGGGCGCGUAGGCGGCGCAACAAGUCACUUGUGAAAUCUCCGGGCUUAACUCGGAAAGGUCAAGUGAUACUGUUGUGCUAGAGUGCGGAAGGGGCAACUGGAAUUCUCGGUGUAGCGGUGAAAUGCGUAGAUAUCGAGAGGAACACCUGCGGCGAAGGCGGCCUGCUGGGCAGUGGCUGACACUGAGGCGCGACAGCGUGGGGAGCAAACAGG
rnacentral:rRNA from 1 species